UUCAGAGGUUUUAGGUGGAACAAAUUUUUCAGAGAUUACAAAUUUGAGGGAGAACUUGUGCGUGCUUUGGGAGGUGCUAAAGCAACUUCAACUCUUCUUGGAGUUCCUUUGGGACAUAAUUUAUCUUUCCUUCAAGGUCCUACAUUUGCCCUGCCUCGCAUUUGCGAGGCCAUUUGGUGUAAUAGUACAAACUUAACUACUGAAAAAGGCAAAGAAUUACAAGAUAUGCACGAGUGCUAACUGAUAUUGGUGAUGUCCCUAUUCGAGAAAUUCGAGAUUGUGCUGUAGAUGAUCACAAAUUAAUGAAUGUAAUUGGUGAAUAUGGAAAGUUAGUAAUGGAUGAGGUAAAUUGGAAAUUUGUGAAUCUGUGUUUUGUUGUCACAUUUUUUGGAAUUAUUAAAUUACACUUUUCACAACAUGUAGAAUAUGAAAUUUCUUCAUUUUUUAAUUCAACCAUUUCUCAUU